rnacentral:lncRNA from 1 species
GGCCUGACCUGUGCCAAAUGGCAAGCUGCUUGUCACCUGAACAAAGGGAGAAAAGGAAGAGGGAUGGAGAUGAUGAUGCCAUGGAUGUAAGCUCUUGUCAUGUUUGUUACAAUAAUGCAUUCUCUUAACAAUUUCAGUGUCCAGUAACCAGCAUUGGCAUCUGAUGCAUUGCUUGCUACAGGUCUCAGAAAAUGGAAAUGGCGAGAGUUCUUCAUGCAGCAAGAAACCAAUAAGAACUGAACUUAGUUUUCUACCAUAUAGCUUUGUCAUUUCCCCAUAUGAAAUGGUCCCAUAAUCUAGUGCGUAUCUGUUUCUGGUUUGAAGUUCAUCUAGCAUUUGACGUGAUAUGUUGUCAUGAUUUAGUAUACAUACAUGGUGUGCCUUACCCUGUGUCAGCAUUAUGGGAGCUAAAAUUAAGUCUGCAUCAACCUCCCAAAUGUCAUGUUCUUCAUUUGCACACAAACUACAGUAUAUGCAUUGCACAUUCC